UAUUGGGGAAAAAAAUAUAUUAAACAGGGGCAAUUUGCUUUGUUUCGAUAUCCAAACAUUGUCUUUAAUCAACUUUGACCAAUGGCCUUUUCAAUGUACUGAUUGAGACGUGUAUUUUAUUUUUUCCGUUUUAACAACGCGGGUACCCUGUGGUUUUUCUCCGAAAUGGAGAAAGAUGUUCCACCAAAGGGAUUUUUGGGGACUUUUAGUAUGUUAACUAGGUUGUAUCACUUGUUCAAAAUCCGCUGAGAGAAAUUAUAUUGCAGACAACAAUGAAGACAGGAUAGAACAACGCGAUUGGCCUUGUGUUCACCCCAUGCAUGCGAAGCAGGUUGAUGGCUGCAACUGUGGUGUCUUCAUAUGCUUUUUUUCCCGUUGCCUGGCUCUUGGAAUUCCACCAACUUCGAACUGAGGGCGGCUGCUGUCUCAAGUCAUUGGAUCCUGCUAUGAUGACAUAAAUAGUUAAUUGUUAAGGACCCCAUAGCUAAAAAUAGAGAGGGGCUAAAUUUGCGGACAAAAGGCCCUGUUAUAAAUCAAUUGUUUACUAAUUAAUGCCUUUAUUAUAUUCAUUAAUAUUGAUGCUGAGCAUAUAUUGUUGUUUGACUUUCUAAAAACAAAUAUAAGGUUGAUAAAUUCUACCAAGGUAUCCCCUCCUCUUGGAGAAAGAGCAACAAUAGUAAUCAUUUUGUGCCCAAAAUGGUUUAUCCACUAGUUCUCCUGCAACUGUAAACAAUAAUUUUAAUCACCUGUUCAAGCUCUGAUGUAAAAAAUAUGGUACCUUAUUUGAACUAAAAUGUUAUAAGCAUAAGAGCCAGCAUAUCCCAACCUCACGAUUUUGAGUAUAAAACUAUAAACAGUUUUCUAGC